rnacentral:rRNA from 1 species
CGGUUUGUUAAGUCAGAUGUGAAAGCCCGGGGCUCAACCUCGGAACCGCAUUUGAAACUGGCAGGCUAGAGUCUUGUAGAGGGGGGUAGAAUUUCAGGUGUAGCGGUGAAAUGCGUAGAGAUCUGAAGGAAUACCAGUGGCGAAGGCGGCCCCCUGGACAAAGACUGACGCUCAGAUGCGAAAGCGUGGGUAGCAAACAGGAUUAGAUACCCUGGUAGUCCACGCCGUAAACGCUGUCUACUUGGAGGUUGAGGUUUAAGACUUUGGCUUUCGGCGCUAACGCAUUAAGUAGACCGCCUGGGGAGUACGGCCGCAAGGUUAAAACUCAAAUGAAUUGACGGGGGCCCGCACAAGCGGUGGAGCAUGUGGUUUAAUUCGAUGCAACGCGAAGAACCUUACCUACUCUUGACAUCCAGCGAAGCCUUUAGAGAUAGAGGCGUGCCUUCGGGAGCGCUGAGACAGGUGCUGCAUGGCUGUCGUCAGCUCGUGUUGUGAAAUGUUGGGUUAAGUCCCGCAACGAGGCGCAACCCUUAUCCUUGUUUGCCAGCACAUAAUGGUGGGAACUCCAGGGAGACUGCCGGUGAUAAACCGGAGGAAGGUGGGGACGACGUCAAGUCAUCAUAGCCCUUACGAGUAGGGCUACACACGUGCUACAAUGGCAGAUACAGAGGGCAGCGAGACAGCGAUGUUUAGCGAAUCCCUUAAAGUUUGUCGUAGUCCGGAUUGGAGUCUGCAACUCGACUCCAUGAAGUCGGAAU